CCAAAAUCGCACAUGCAGCGACAGCAAGCGCAGGGAUCAGCACGGCCGCACGUAUUCGGCGACUUCGGCGAGAGUCAUGAAAGCACUGCACAUCAUUUUGUUUCUCGGCGCCGCGAUACAGGCCGUGUGCGCCUACUGGAGCCAUGAGUACUCUCAACACAGCCAAUGCUUGGCUUACUGUUGGCCGGACCACCCCAACUAUAGUCCCUGCAGUCCUGGAUGCCUGUGCUACCGGAGGUUUGACUACCCCAGUUCUGGUUACUGCUUGGAUCCAAAAAGACCGAUCCCUCAUCAUUUCCGCAUGCUUGGCGCUCGCUACAAUCGCUCUAAUUAGCUGCUGCUUACAACCUGCUGCACACCGAUCGCAUUCCUAAGAUACGCGAAUAAAGUAUUUCCUCCA